ensembl:lncRNA LINC01517 long intergenic non-protein coding RNA 1517
CGCAUUCAUGGUGACUCAACCUGUUAGCAGUUCCUUUCUUCUGGGAUCCAGCCUGUUGCGGCCUCUUUAGUAUCAGCAGUGGCUGUGCAGAACAUUGCCAAGCCCUUAGCAACCUAUUCAGCAGCUCUGUGGGGAUGGCUGGGGAGCCCCAGGUUUGCAAAUGCAACGGCGAGUCAGCCUGGAAAGUCGGCACCACGGUGCCCUCUCCCUGCCAGGCUCCUUCCAAGAAAUUCCCAGCUACCCUGCUGUUUAUUAAACAGCUCAGUAAAGAAAGCACAGGGGGCAAAACAGCCAUCCUACAUGAGCAGAAGGCAUUCACAAGUUGCCAGAGUGAUUUUGUCUGAGUGUUCGGCCUGGAGGUGGCUGAAAGAGCAAUAAUGAAACAGAAUGGGCGGUCCGAGCGGACAUGAAACAGCGAUUACACGUUCACGCUAUUCUUAGAAACAGUUGAGCCAGUGGCGGUGGAGUCUGAAGGCUCUGGAAUCUUUUCCUUCGUGUGGCAGCAACUUAUUUUUCCUGCGGAGGCUCGGUGGUGCUUUUCUUGGGCUCAGGAUUGCGGCUUGGAUGGCUCAUUCCCUGGGAGUGCACACACUGAGCCCUUUGGAAAGGCAGCAGCAGGACAAGGAUCAGUGGCAGGCAAAGAGGCAAAAAAAGCAGGACCCGGGUUCCAUAGGCAACUGCUUUAUUUACAGUUCCAAAAACGGUGCUUGUUCAACUAUCCUGAACUUUUGUAGAAGUUCAAACUUGGAAAUUGUAGUGAUGAAAUGAGAGCUGUGUUUUAAAAAUUACUUUUAACUGUCUAUGAAGCAAGUCUACAUUUUGGCAAAAUGGGCUGCUUUUAAUCUGGUCAUGUGGGAUUUAAAAAAAGAUUUAAUUCAGCUGGAUUUUGCAAAGCCCUUGCAUUGUAUGACAUGAGGUUAUUUAAGGUAUAGUUUUGUCUUCAAAGAGAAGAAAUAAGACACACGCAUGGAUUUUUAGAGUAAAAAUAACGAGAGAAUGUUAUUACCCAAGAGCAUAUAUUAGCUCACUUGCAGUGAUGUUGAACUGGGAACAUUCCAGAAGGAUUCCACGUGAAGCAGUGUUUGCAUUUGUAUGUUUGAAAUGCUCCAUAACAAAAUUGAAAAACUGUAAGAGCAAAAUAAAUAAUAAUACGGAUUAUGAAGUAAUUAAAAUGAAGCAGAGAAAAAACCUGUAGGAUGCAGCCUAAAUAAAUGAUACUUUAAAUCAAGCUUAUCCAACCCGUGUCUUGUAGGCCACAAUGUGGCCUAGGACAUAUUUGAAUGCGGCCCAACACAAAUUCGUAAACUUUCUUAAAAUAUUGUGAGACUUUUUUUUUUUUUUUAGUUCAUCAGCUAUCAUUAGUGUUAGUGUAUUUUACGUGUGGCCCAAGACAAUUCUUCUUCUUCUGAUGUGGCCCAGGGAAGCCAAAAGACUGGCCACCUCUGGUUCAAAUAAACAUUUACAGCCUCAGUCACAUAUAUUAGAAAAUGAAAAAGACUGAAAAAUUUGCCAGCUACUUGCUUGACACAGUACAACAGAAAAACAACAGCAAAGCAAGCAGAAAGAAGGCAGAAGAAGGAAGGAAACCAUAAAGAUAAGGAGAGCAAUUAAUGAGCUAGAAAACAAAGUAAUAAUGCAGAAAUCAACCCAACUAAAAGCCGGUUCCUUGAAAAGAGUGAUAAAGCCAUCUCUGGCAAGAAUGACCAAGGACGAGAGAAGAAAAAGCAUGAAAAAGAAACAGAGCAUAACUACUGAUGGAGAUUUUAAAGCCUGUAAGAGAAUACUAUGGACAAGUUCCUGACAAUACAUUUGGAAACAGAGAAAUCAGACAAUCUCCUAGAAAAAUAUUAAUUACAAAAACUGAUGAAAGAAAAAGCUGGAAUAUACCUAUAAUCAACAAAAGAAGUGAAUCAAGUUAAUAAUCUACAGCCUUCCUUCCCCGGAUGCCUCCCUCUCCAAAAAACAGGCCAGACACAGCCAAGUUUACAAAAUCUUCAAAGAACAGAUAAGCACUACUUUGUAUAAACUUUUUCAAAGAAUAGAAAAAGGACAACUUCCCACAUCAUUUUGUAUGCAUAACCUUGAUAAUAAAACUGAACAAAUAAAAUAGAGUGUAGCAAAAUUAUAGGUCAUUGUUAAUUAUGAAAUGAGUGUAAUGAUCUUAAAUAAAAUAUUAGUAAACCAAAUCUAUCAAAAUAUUUAAAUAAUACAUUUUUGACCAGUUAGUGUUUAUCCUAAUGUGGCAGGAUGGUUUACAUUAGGAAAUCUUUUUAAUGUAAUUCACCACAUCUGUACGUUUAAAGAUGUUCAAAUGUUACUAUAUAUUGCUUACAGUUUUAUGUCUGUAAAAUAUAAAAAUAUAGUCAAUUACUGUCUAUCUCUGGUGAUGGAGAGUAAACAAUGAAAUGGGGAUGCUUUAGCUGGCACUAAAAUAUUUUCUUUCUCAAAAAAUAAAAAGGUAACUAAAGGAAAGAUAGUGUUAAGGAUAAUACUUCUUAGAUCUAGUGGAUGAACCCCUUGGUCAUUGUCAUUGUUUUCAUUUCUUCUGAAUUGCUGAGAUAUUACACAACUAAACAUAUUUGAGAAAAAAAGAGAAAAG